UUGUUGGGUUAGCUAGAUUUUUUUUGUUUGAUAUUUUAAGUUGCUUUGGUAGAAAUGACAAAUUGAGGCACACGAAGGAAAGAGAGAUCGGAGAGCAGUGCGCUGCCCAUAUCUAUGGCCUUUUUUGGAUAUUCAAUGGUGGGCAAUCGAUGAUUGUGGAACAGAUCAGAUGGAGAUACUAGUUAGCUGCUGCUUCAGUAAUCAACAGAGAGAUAGGACUUUUAUCUUUGUUUUGUACGGUCCAUGGUUUUGAUACGGGUUAGCUGUUUCUUUAUAAAUCAACGGAGAAAUAGGAUUUGUCUUUGUUUUUCAAAGCAAUCUGCUGCAUGUCUGUCUAUUUUUGCAUCCCUCGCAAUGUAGAAUUAAUCUCUAGUUUAUAUCUCAAUACUAUCAUACUGCACGAAAUCCCAAUCCUUUGUUUCCUGUGAUCAUCUUUCUGCUGAACAUAUCAUAAUUUGAUUAGCCCUGUCAAAUUAGUCAUGUCAAGCUAGAGCCCCUAUUGGCUGUGCUACAAUGAGUACUGAGCUACAUCAUAAUUUACUAAUGAAUUAGGCAGUCAUUUAAUUUUUGCAUUGCAGCUGAUUUGCAUUCAGUCUCACGGUUUGUCAUAAUAGUGUUCAAUUUUUUUCUAAUUGCUGUUGGAUUUUUUGUGUUCCACUAGCUUCAGUUUGUGGAUUGUUAGCUUUUGAUUUUGAGAAUUAUGGUCGAUAUAUUAUUGCCUUGUUUAUGGUACCUAGUUGAUAGGGAGGGAGGGGGAAAGUCGACAUGGCUUGAAGGCUCUUCUUCAUCACGGAUGGUUGUGGAAGGGAUCUGUGUUGCAACGAAGCUUGAUUUGUAAAUACUAUAAAUUUGUAAUGUCAAUGCGUACCCUACUUUUUUUCAGUUAAUUGCGAUUGAAAUUCAUUUGUAAACUGAGUGCAGAUUGUACUUCAACCUUUUAUUGUAGCAAUAGAACUUAAUCAUUUUUGCCUCUAAAAGAUUGAAACUUGAGGAUCUACCAGUCGAUGUCUCAAUGACUCCCAAGUCCUAGGCCACAUGCAAUUGCGAUUUAUCUAGCUGUAAAUCCUCAAGUGCACCCAUAUUUUGAGCACAAGCUUAGAGCCUAGUAAAAUUAUUGAAUGGAUAUGUGGGUUUCCCAAUAAUAUUUACAUGCCAGAAACUGGUUUAAAGUGAUCUACAAAUCUAAUUUAUGUCAUUGUAUAUGCAAAUAUCACCUGUAAUUCUUUACCUUUUCCUUUGGCCUUUUUUUUUGCACCUUGCUAGUUGAACUGCUGGCUAUGUUUUCUUAGAAUUUGGAGAAUUAUACUGUUAGAAACCCUUUCUUGGGUAUAAAUGGAACGAUUUAAUACAGAUUUGCUCCUUGUCAAUUGAUAGAAAUCCUGCUUUUGUGUAAAUCGACGUGCAGCAGUGUCAGACCGGCGACGCACGGGACAGAUCGACUUGUGUGCAUAUCUUGUAAUCGGGUCUUGCUGUUGUCUAUACCUGCAGCCCUCGCCACUUCCUUGGUUCCUCUUCCUCGGUCCAUCCCCCUUCCUGAUCCAUUGCCAUUUCUUCUCAGAUCCCAUAAGUGAAAGAGCCGGAGGACGUGGAGCCAACCAGCAGCAGUUCUGUGCCAGCAACAACGCAGGAUCUGCGAGGGGGCACCGAGAUCCCUGCGCGCAGUGGCAUGUGUCUGCGAGAUCCGCGGCGACCCCGGCAAGGAAGACCAUGGGGUGGUGACAUGGCUUCCUGGCAAGCGCGGUCUCCCCUGUGGCGGAUUAAGGUGCCAUUAUAUGGCAAUUUGCCAGAAUUCCGCCUUCCACUUUGAAAAGUUACAGGUCUGGAUGUGUGUGAUUUUGUGAUUAUUUUUGUCAUUUGUGUGUGACAUGACAUUGAUGCUCGGAUCCAGUCUGGCCUCACCUCCUUGCUCUUUUCUACAAAUCUGCGAGGCAGCGCAAGUGAGGUCUCUGCUCAGCAUCCGGAGCUGAGGUAACCACGCACCAUAGCACCAUUUUUAUGGUUCUUAUGUAUCAGAUUACUAAAAGUUCAGAACAUAUGACCACUCUUAGUUCAGAUUAGUAAAAAUUUUGAACAUGAUGACUGCUCUUAGUUCAUAUUAGAGGGAAGUUCAGAUUAGUUCACAUCUAGAUUGUUCACUAACCAUGAAUUAUACCCUUUGUGUACUGUGGACAAUAAUCUUGCACUAAAAAUAUACAUUACGGCUGGGCAAUCUGUUUUUUUUUCUAUUUGUGUUGUUAUGACUUGCAUUUUCUUAUUGUGGCCUUAUGUAAACAAAAAGUAGUUUAAUUUUUAUGCCUUUUAUGAAGUGUUUUGUUCUUGUUGGCGCCUGACAUCAAUUAAUCUUGCGGCUUCAUUUUUCCUCAUAAUGCUAAUAUAGGAUAUAAUAUGAGUAUCAUCAUGACAUCUUGAUGAAGUUACAACUUUAAAAUUCGAAGUCAUAUUGUACUUAUGCUGUGUAACUUCAGGCUUGUGUCUCUGUAAGUUUUGAAGUUAGUGUACAACUAUAAAUUUUGUGAAGCUAUUGAGUAAUCAUGAACUCUCCAGUUUCAUUUUUUUUUAUUGAAGCUUUAAUCUGCAGUCCUAAUAUGCUUCAUCUAGCAAUCAAGUAAAUAUGAAAAUGUGGCCUGAAAUUUUGUAAUUCUUAUACUAGAAUUACACCCUCAUUUAGUAUUCUAAAUUUCUAGUUUGUUAGUGUAAAACAAAAAAUGGAACACUACUUCACUAGAAUUUUCUAUGCCAAUUUUACCCAAGUAUUUCAGCUGCCUGCUAGUUGUGGUUGCCAUAGAAGCAAUGUGAUGCUAGUGGACUGAACUAGUUCUAAUGGUCAUUUUUAUUUCUUCAUUAGCGGUAUGGUAUAUUUUGUGAAGCUAUCGAGUAAUCAUGCAACUGUCCAGUUUCAUUUUCUUUUUUAUUGAAACUUUAAUCUGCAGCAUGAUAUGCUUUAUCUAGCAAUCAAGUAAAUAUGAAAAUAUGGCCUGAAAUUUCAGAAUUUUUAUACUAGAACUGCACCCUUAUUUAGUAUUGUAAAAUUCUAGUUUGUUACUGUAAACCAAAAGGUGGAAUAUUACUUCACUAGGAUUUUCUAUGCCAAUUUUACCAAAGUAUUUCAUUUUCUCCCGGACCUGUUACUUUUCUUGUAUUGCAUGAGCGGAGUUGAGGAGUUAGGGAUGGAGAACUCAGGUAAAAGAACUUCUCUCCUGCUACAAAGAUUCGAAUUAGCAUUUUAGUAUGUGUUUAAAGUCCCCUGAACACACUUUGGUUUUUAAAGUUUUUCCUAGUCUUGCAUAGAGUAUUUUGUUAUUCUCGUGGCUGCUUCUUUGUUAAUUAGCACUUCCUGGACCAAUGGCUACAAAACUACAAGUGACUUAUACUAGAAUUACAUCUUCGUUCAGUAUUGUAAUUUCCUAGUUUUUUACUGUAAAAUAGUACAUAUGUAUGCUAGACAAAUGAGAAGCCAUAAUGUCAAACUUUUUUAGACAUAUUACUCCUCUAAUUUUUCUCCACAUAGUAGAUUACUUUGAAUUAUUUGGUUCAUUUAAUUUGUGCCAGUUCUAUUAGCGCUUCCAGAUUACUUUGUUCAUUUCAGUUGUUAGGGAGGGGGGUGUUGUUAAGUAAGCUAAUUGAAUUAAUGGGUUACAACCUAGAAGGCUGUACUUACUUGCGACAUUCUGUUUAGCGAUCCAAUAUCUAGUUAUGAGUAUGGUAUAGUUUUCUAGGAUUGUUAGCUGUUAGCUAAUGUGAUUCCAUAACUAGGACUGUCUGCAAGUUGUGAUUGCUAAAAAAUAGCACUGCUCUAAGCUAGACUGAAUGUUGGUGUUGACUGAAUAUAGGCGUUGACUGAAUGUAGGUGUUGACUGUUCCUAGUGUCAGUAUUUUGUUAUGUUAAUUUGGCUACUAGAAGUAGGUGCAUAGCUGUAGUGGUUGCUGGUCGGUGUUUUUUUUGUUAAUUAGCACUUGUGAUUGGUGUCUAUGAAAUUACAAAUAAUUUAUAUUAGAGUUACACCAUAAUUCAGUAUUGUAGUUUUCUAUUUUUGUCACUGUAAAAUGUUUAGAGCAGCUUGUACUUUGGGUAUUGUAAGCUUGUAUUCUUCGUUCAUAUCAAACAACAUGUCACUGCUAUCUGAACGCACUUCUUUCAUUAUGUUUUUUUAGCAAGCAACUUGUCUAAUAUCUGAAUUGACUUGCCACACCCUGUUGUCUACAGCAAACACCUGCUCAAUGCCAUUUGAAUUCACUUGGUGCCUUAGGCAGUCUGCACCAGCCAACAGCUCACUGUUAUCUGACCCUCUUCCACUGCCAUUCAUGUGAAUUUCACUUGACUGUGUCAUUUGGACGACAUCUUGAUAUUCAGAUGUAUAAGUUGUAUGGCCUUCAAGUCAGCAUCUUGUUACACACAUAGAAUGUUGUAUAUCACAAGGUUAGAUCAAUAUGUAUGCUAUUCAUAUUCGGAGUACGAUGGAUAUAUAAUUCACUUAGUGUCUACCUAUUAUUUCAGUUAUGCUUUUUUUCCUCAUAAGGCUUGCCACAUGUGUAUUUAGGUGUGAACUGAGAUAUCUAAUAGAGCUGAACAUCUAGCUA